CUGAAGGACAUUUACAAAGCCGUGCUGCUGUUUUUCUCCAGAUGCAUGCACCACUCCCCGCCAGAGCACACAGCACGCCGAACAGGAGGAGGUUGCUCAGGAUCUCUUCGAGGUGGAUCUCUUCCCAGGCCAUACAAAACGCUCCAGUUUCUUAUACAAAAAAAACAUGACAUUUCCUUCUGAAUGAAGUCAGAGCAGAAAAACCAGCAGAGUCAUUACGAGGAGGGCUGUAAACACGCGAAUAACAACACCAAGUACGUGCACGGAGGAGUAAAAAAGGCCCAUCGAAAUGUGCACCGGGCAAGGGAACACACCUGUGCGGACGCAGAGCUUUGACUGCACAUUCAGCCAGGCUCUUUCUUCCCUCGAAUCCCAAACAACCUGCAAAGAGGGAGUUCCUCCUUAACAGCAGCCAAGGGCGCCGCGUUGAGCAGCACCACUUCCAGCCCAGCCCGUCCCGGCUGCGUGCUGGUUGUGGAGCCCACGGCUUCGUGAGGCGUCCCCCUCCCCGUCCCCAGCCUGCCUGCAGCCACCGAGCCUCGCAGCCUCCGGGCUCCAACCUCGCUGCCUCCCCGUCGAGCCCUCUCCGUGGUGCAAAGAGAAGGGACCUGCUGG